GAUCUGAUUGGUGGAGUGGUCUGCUCCGGGUUUAUAGAUAAAUAGAUAAUCGUCUCGCUUGUCUCCUGUCUUGCUUGAGUCUGAUCCGAGGCAGUCUAGGGGAGAUAACUACAAAGAUUAUUCAUCUGCUUGGUCUCUGUAAUCUCUAUUGGUUGAAAAAAUGGCUUGGCUUCCGUUGGAAUCUAAUCCUGAUGUAAUGAACAAGGUAAUGCUAUUCAAUAGUACUUGGCACUCAUGUAAGUAGACAAAUGUAUGCUAUUUAUUUUCAUAAUUUUGUAAUUAACUAGAUAAUAAAAUAUUAAAAAAUAAAUUUUGAUUGCAACCAGCUGAUAUUAAAAUUUAAAAA